UACGUAGGGGGCUAGCGUUGUCCGGAAUCAUUGGGCGUAAAGCGCGUGUAGGCGGUUCGGUAAGUCCGCUGUGAAAGUCGGGGGCUCAACCCUCGGAUGCCGGUGGAUACUGUCGGACUAGAGUCAGGUAGGGGAGAACGGAAUUCCUGGUGUAGCGGUGAAAUGCGCAGAUAUCAGGAAGAACACCCGUGGCGAAAGCGACGGACUGGACCUCUUCUGACGCUGAGGCGCGAAAGCUAGGGGAGCAAACGGG
rnacentral:rRNA from 1 species